rnacentral:lncRNA from 12 species
AGGAAGAACUAUGUUGCAUUAUCCUUUCUGCAGCUCCUAUGGCCAAAAUGCAACAACGCCCCAAAGUGGCCGAAGGGCCAAUAAAGUCAUGGUUUUCUCCUGCACUGCCUUGAGGAGUGUGUGCUGACUGUGAUGGGGUUGAAGUCCAUGGAGAAACCUCCGUGUGUGAAUCUGAUCACUGGGAAAGGCUGCAGGGCAGAGAGAAGAACUGAGAGGUUCUGGUCAGCACUGGUGAUGCUGCUCUGGGAUGGGAGGAGAUGCAGAACUGUCCUGAGACCACUGGGGAACUGUGUUCAUUGGAUUUACUCCUCCUCAGCACUUCCUAAAGCACUCAUCUCAACCUUUUUGGGCUGGAACUCACUGAGUUUGGCCUAGCAAGGUAAAAAGUCUCAAUUGUGCUGUUGGUAGAAGUUUGCAAAAAUAAUGAGUGUGUGUCUUUGCUUCUACCUGUCACUGAUUCUUUUCUCAUCUAUCAGAAUUCCUGCAGAGUGUCUCAAACCCUGGGAUUACAGAAUCAGUGGAACAGCCGUGAUUCACCUCCCAGGUGCCCCAAGAAAUGAGCUGCAAGACAAUAAUUAUGAAUUUCUGUUCUCUGAUGUCAUCCUGGGGCCUCUUUU